rnacentral:lncRNA from 1 species
UGAAAUUAAAAGCUGAAUGAACUGGAAAACAAUUGAUAGCACCGAUUAAAAUUUAAAAGACACACUAAGGAACAAGUGAUCGAACAAAAUAAUCCACUCAAACUCAAAUGUAAGGUAGAAAAUUAAUGGAACAGUAAUGGUAGAACAAAACAACACGGAAAAACAUAAAAUGAAUUGCAAAGUGACUUAGCUGGAGCGUGAAUCAACCAUAGCUCUGAAUACCA